GGAGCAUGUGGUUUAAUUCGAUGAUACGCGAGGAACCUUACCUGGGCUCAAAUAGUAUGUUGACGUAUUCUGAAGGAUACUUUCUUCGGACAAUAUACAAGGUGCUGCAUGGUUGUCGUCCAGCUCGUGCCGUGAGGUGUCGGGUUAAGUCCCAUAACGAGCGCAACCCCUAUCAUUAGUUGCCAUCAGGUCAAGCUGGGGACUCUAAUGAAACUGCCUACGCAAGUAGUGAGGAAGGUGGGGAUGACGUCAAAUCAGCACGGCCCUUACGUCCAGGGCUACACACGUGCUACAAUGGCCGAUACAGAGGGCAGCUACCUGGUGACAGGAUGCAAAUCUCCAAAGUCGGUCUCAGUUCGGAUCGGAGUCUGCAACCCGACUCCGUGAAGUUGGAUUCGCUAGUAAUCGCGCAUCAGCCAUGGCGCGGUGAAUACGUUCCCGGGCCUU
rnacentral:rRNA from 1 species